UUCUGCCUACGGGGGGCAGCAGUGGGGAAUCUUCCGCAAUGGGCGCAAGCCUGACGGAGCAACGCCGCGUGAAUGAAGAAGGUCUUCGGAUCGUAAAGUUCUGUUCUUAGGGAAGAAGUCUUUUCUUGUGAAUAAUGGGAGAAGGUGACGGUACCUAUGGAGAAAGCUCCGGCUAACUACGUGCCAGCAGCCGCGGUAAUACGUAGGGAGCGAGCGUUGUCCGGAAUUACUGGGUGUAAAGGGAGCGUAGGCGGGGAUGCAAGUU
rnacentral:rRNA from 1 species